rnacentral:rRNA from 1 species
CAGUAGCCGCGGGAAUACGAAGGGGGCUAGCGUUGUUCGGAUUUACUGGGCGUAAAGCGCACGUAGGCGGAUUCUUAAGUCAGAGGUGAAAUCCCAAGGCUCAACCUUGGAACUGCCUUUGAUACUGGGGAUCUCGAGUCCGGGAGAGGUGAGUGGAACUGCGAGUGUAGAGGUGAAAUUCGUAGAUAUUCGCAAGAACACCAGUGGCGAAGGCGGCUCACUGGCCCGGUACUGACGCUGAGGUGCGAAAGCGUGGGGAGCAAACAGGAUUAGAUACCCGGGUAGUCCCUGUCUCUUAUAC